UAUGAUCAGAAGACUAGUAUUCAUUAUUACACUUCAAACCUAUGCCUCCUAGCUAUAUUAAGUAUUGAUUCAAAACAAAAAUUCAAAAAACAAAUGUUCACAAAUCUCUCUAUCUCUCUCUCUCUCUCUCUCUCUCUCUCUCUCUCUCUUCAUCCCCUUCACACCAAAUUUCGCCGGAGAUUUUGCACCGCCAAAACAGUUGACAUUUCCACAAUUCUUUAACAAUCCCUCUCUCUCUUUCUCUCUCUCUCUCUCUCUCUCUUCAUCCCAUCCAGACCACCUUCACCGGAGAUUUCCACCGCCAAAAAAAUCAGCAAAUUAUCUUCCUCCACACCAACUUCACCGGAGAUUUCCACCACCAUCGGAGUUUCAAAUGCGUCGGUCUUCUUAGCAAAAGGGAAAAAAGGGAUCUACCACAAAAUUGGAAAAAAGGUGUUAAAGGGAAACUAAUAAGUAUUUAAUCUCAAAUUAUUAUUACAUUAAUUUGUAUAGCUUGUGUUUACGGAUUUCUUUUGUAACAUUGCGGAAAUGUUUUGUUUUAUGUAUGGUGCUGUGAUUAGAUAUCUUAUUACCUGGUUAUAUAAAAAAACUUUUGGGAUUUGUUUUUUA